GUGGGGAAUAUUGGACAAUGGGCGAAAGCCUGAUCCAGCCAUGCCGCGUGUGUGAAGAAGGUCUUCGGAUUGUAAAGCACUUUAAGUUGGGAGGAAGGGCAUUAACCUAAUACGUUAGUGUUUUGACGUUACCGACAGAAUAAGCACCGGCUAACUUCGUGCCAGCAGCCGCGGUAAUACGAAGGGUGCAAGCGUUAAUCGGAAUUACUGGGCGUAAAGCGCGCGUAGGCGGUUUGGUUAGUUGGAUGUGAAAGCCCCGGGCUCAACCUGGGAACUGCAUCCAAUACUGCCAGGCUAGAGUACGGUAGAGGGGGGUAGAAUUCCACGUGUAGCGGUGAAAUGCGUAGAGAUGUGGAGGAAUACCAGUGGCGAAGGCGGCCCCCUGGAUCGAUACUGACGCUGAGGUGCGAAAGCGUGGGGAGCAAACAGGAUUAGAAACCCGGGUAGUCC
rnacentral:rRNA from 1 species